GAUGAACGCUGGCGGCGUGCCUAAUACAUGCAAGUCGAGCGAACAGAUGAGGAGCUUGCUCCUCUGACGUUAGCGGCGGACGGGUGAGUAACACGUGGAUAACCUACCUAUAAGACUGGGAUAACUUCGGGAAACCGGAGCUAAUACCGGAUAAUAUAUUGAACCGCAUGGUUCAAUAGUGAAAGACGGUUUUGCUGUCACUUAUAGAUGGAUCCGCGCCGCAUUAGCUAGUUGGUAAGGUAACGGCUUACCAAGGCAACGAUGCGUAGCCGACCUGAGAGGGUGAUCGGCCACACUGGAACUGAGACACGGUCCAGACUCCUACGGGAGGCAGCAGUAGGGAAUCUUCCGCAAUGGGUGAAAGCCUGACGGAGCAACGCCGCGUGAGUGAUGGAGGUCUUCGGAUCGUAAAACUCUGUUAUUAGGGAAGAACAAAUGUGUAAGUAACUAUGCACGUCUUGACGGUACCUAAUCAGAAAGCCACGGCUAACUACGUG
rnacentral:rRNA from 1 species